GACCUGGUAGCUCAGCUGGUAGAGCAACGCCCUUUUAAGGCGUGGGUCCUGGGUUCGAGCCCCAGCCAGGUCACUA
rnacentral:tRNA from 1 species